rnacentral:rRNA from 1 species
UACGAAGGGAGCUAGCGUUAUUCGGUAUCACUGGGCUUAAAGAGUUCGUAGGCGGUCUGGUAGGUGAGGUGUGAAAUCCCCCGGCUCAACCGGGGAACUGCGCUUCAAACCGCCGGACUUGAGGGAGACAGAGGUGGGCGGAACAGAUGGUGGCGCGGUGAAAUGCGUUGAUAUCAUCUGGAACACCGGUGGCGAAAGCGGCCCACUGGGUCUCAUCUGACGCUGAGGAACGAAAGCUAGGGUAGCGAACGGG